rnacentral:tRNA from 1 species
GUCCUGGUGGCGCAGUGGUUGAGCACUCAGCUGCUAACUGAAGGGUUGGUGGUUUGAACCCACCCAGAGGCU